rnacentral:rRNA from 1 species
AUUGAACGCUGGCGGCAGGCCUAACACAUGCAAGUCGAACGAGUGGCGGACGGGUGAGUAAUGUCUGGGAAACUGCCCGAUGGAGGGGGAUAACUACUGGAAACGGUAGCUAAUACCGCAUACCAUCGGAUGUGCCCAGAUGGGAUUAGCUUGUAGGUGAGGUAACGGCUCACCUAGGCGACGAUCCCUAGCUGGUCUGAGAGGAGGACCAGGCACACUGGAACUGAGACACGGUCCAGACUCCUACUUGAGGCGGCAGUGGGGUAUAUUGGACAAUGGGCGCAAUCCUGAGGCAGCCAUGCCGCGUGUAUGAAGAAGGCCUUCGGAGUGUAAAGUACUUGCAGCGGGGAGUCGUUACUCGCAGAAGAAGCACCGGCUAACUCCGUGCCAGCAGCCGCGGUAAUAC